UCUCGUCGAAGUAUGACCAAAAAUGUAAAACGGCAACAGCUCACCUGCGGAUUCUAGCAGUAGCGUCCUUAAACCAUUUUAUAUAGGAUGGGCCGAGCUCAAUACAAUAUGUACAAUAAUACACGUCAAGCGGUAUACAUCACGUACACUGAAAUUCGCCAACCGUGACGUGGUAAUCCACCCUCGGCAUUUUAACCCGGUCACACAGCCACACAGGUCCGGCAAACAACCGGCACUAAUUUCGGGGAAUUUUUUCCUUCACGGCACACACGCGUGAUACUAAAUAACCGAUACGAAGUAUAAAUACUCCCAAAAAGAGACAUGGCGCAGCGUGGUUGUUAAAUUAUUGCUGCAGACAGAUUGCAGUUAUUUGCAUUUUAGUCAAGACUUAUUGCAACGGCUGAAGCUGAAAGGUCUCACACAAAGGAUACAUGCAGACUACAGAAACUUAAAAGUUAUUUCGGGUCAAGACAACACACGAGUGAAGCCCUAUAAUUUAGAAUAGCUAUCUUUGGAUAUAAUGGACAUGAACAACACCUGGGUAAAUGAAGUAUCAACUUAGUAAAUAAUAUGGAUAUCUUACUACCUAUAUAAUAGGUACAUUCAAACUGUGCUGAGCUGAAGAAGGCUUUUUAAGGCUACUGUCUGAAGACCAAAUUGAAUAAGUGAAUAGUUUCAGGGGGUGCCAGUCAAGGCCGGAUACAGUGGUCCUUAACGGAAAGGAAUUUCGCCCAUCGUCCCCCUCUGUAUUCGCCUUCUGCAUACCCUGGAAAAGAGGCCUGCGCACGCCUAUGGUUUGCCAUGUUGUACCUAAUACAGUAGUAAUUCACUUGCAGAGUUGCAGCCAUACCAAAAUCCUACUAUAAGUUCGCUCAUCUGCACUUUCAGCUUGCCCUCGAACAUAAAGUUGACCAUAGUGAUAGAAUGUUCUAGUGAGAUAUCGAGACUUUUUUUGGUGAGCCGCGGCUGGUAAUUGACAACGAUUUAUUUGGCUUAUUACAAUUGGAUUCACGAAAACAUCGCCAAUGCAACGGUGGAAUCGGAAAUCUGAAAAUAAAAUUAUUAAUACAAAAACUAUAACGACAGCUCUAUCUACCGACAAACGUUAACAGUAAGUAUGCAUAUUAUGCUAUCUCGCCCUCGUUUAU